UUCCUGUCAGCCUCUAUUGGGGUGGUGGGUGGGGAGGAGCAGCCAUGGAAACCCUGAUCCUUCUAGUCAUAGUCUGGCUCCCUGGGGCUGUGAGAGGUGUCCCCAAAGAGAAGCCUCCAAUUGACAAACCUCUGCUCCACCCCACCCCACAUACACAGAGGAUGGCCCAAGCCCAGGUCCCUGGCAUGGUGGGGCAGGGGCCUGAGUCACAGCCUGGCGUGACCCUGCCCAGUCCCCAGGAAUGGCCAGCUCGUCCAGAGGUGAGACCCAGGUCAACAAUCCAUCAGUCUGCCUCCUGCCACCAGCUGGGCAGAGCUAGUGUUGGGCCUGUGCCUGGGGGCCACCAAGGGGGCCCGGAGAAAAGAAUGGAGGGGUUUUCACUUCCUGAGCAGCAGGAGGAGCCAGCUGGGGUUAAAGACAGGAGGGACUGGUUGGGCCUACAGGCAUUUGGAGUCUCUCCCUGCCUGCUGGGUGAGGGAGGCAGCAGGUGCCAAGAACUGCUAGCUUCUAGGACCUGACCCUCAAGUUGCUUCUCCUGCUGAGGGGCUUCUAGGGUCACCCUCAGGGCCUUGACAUCUGCACACAUCUGCACAGGCCCUUCACCAGGGACUUAACCUCCAAAGGCAGCUCCUGCUCCCAGCCUUCACAGGCCCCCCUAGGGCCCAAGUCCCCAGACCCAACCUCAGUCUGCAAGCUGGCCAAGUCAGAGGUCCUGGCUGCCUGGACCACUCCCAAGCAGUAAAUGGCACUGUGGGCUUCCUCCAUCCUGUCUUCCCCGCCCCACUUCAUUGAUUCACUGACUUCCAACUUACUGGUCAGGCCCCCUUCCAGACCCUGCCUGGAUGAAGAGGACUCCCAGAAGCAGUGAUUGAAGGCCUAGGAGGAUACAGAGAGCCAGGUGCUUUAAUUGGAGUACUCAACAAUCUUUUUUAUUGCUAAGGGCACAUGAUCAAAAAAACUUCGGAGGUCACUGGCCUAGACUUCAGGUGGGGCAGCUGUGGGCAGGGGAUGGCUUGUCUUGUCCAUCUAAGUAUCCAGCCUGACACAUGACUAGUUCAGAGCCUGGCAGGGAGCAGAGGUCAGGGACACAGUAUUGAAUGAAUGAAGUCCACCCCUAGAACUGACAGAUGAGGAAACUGAAAUAAUUCUGGGGCGGGGAGAUUGCUCAGAGGAGGACAUGGGCAGGUUGAGAGAGUCUCCCCUCAUUGCUGCUAUGUCUGCAGCCUGCCCGUGUCCAACACCCAGCACCCACACAAACCUUACUUCUACCCACCCCAGGGAGCACAGCUCCCUCCUCUGCCUACCAGCAGAGUGGCCACCUGUCUUGAGCUUCUUACUGGAUCCUGAUUAGCAGAGCCAGACAGGGUUGUCACCUGCCAUAUCCCUCUACGUGGCAGAAAGUCUGUUGCCAGCUUUGUAUCCUAGAACUCUCUGGAAGUCAAUCUGGUGUAGGAGAAAGAAUUUAGGCUCCAGACAGGCGUCAGUCCUCAUCCAGCUUGGUGACCUUGGGCACAACACAUAACUGGUAUAAGCCUCAGUUUCCCAAUCUGUAUCUUGGGACCAAUAUUUGUACUUACUGGGAGGAAAUAUUCCAAGAGAUGAAAACUAGCCAAGACCACGCAGCACCAGAACCACUCCCAGAAGCCCCGGCUUCCCCAGAGACUGCUUCAGUGAGCCGGCAAAAACUGAAGCCUGCAGCCUCAGGAGUUCCCACACACACCUAGGCCAGAAUCCCUCUGCCCCGCAGCAGGACACCCCUCCCUCUUGCCCUCCAGGGUCAUGGGCUAGACAUGGCAAGGUAAGCAGAAGGCAGAUGCAUACUAGUCCACACAAGCUUGUGACGGCUGGGACUAGGGGCCAACCUAGUGGCUCCCACGUUGAGAAUCAACGCCAAUUCCAGGAAGCCUUCCCGGCUAACCCCCAAAAAGCUGGCAAUACUUCCCUCCCACAACACAGCCUUGGCUCUCGAAGGCUGUCCUCUCCCCCAGCCUCACUCUGACUCAUCAUGUAGGUCCCGCAUGGGCCUCAGUUCUCCUGGCCAUGGGCUCUCCCCAUACCUUAACCUGGGAACCGUUGUGGGCAGGACCAUGUGGGACAAAAAGGUCCUGUGCCCAACCCAGCACCAAUCACAGGGAGGCCUGGGGAUAAGCAGGGGCUCUUGGAAAGGGGGCAGAACUCAGCUCAAGUCACAGAACCUGGGAAGGACCUUCAGUGGAAAGCCGCUUCAAAUGUCAUCUGGGAUGAGCAUGGUGGCUCACACCUGUCGUCUCAACACUUUGGUGAAACUGAGGCUGGAGGAUUGCUCAAGGCCAGGAGUCGAAGACCAGCCUGGGCAACAUAGCAAAACCUUGUCUCUCUGUGUAUUUUUUUAAUAUUAAAAAAAAAAAAUUUAAGGUCAUCAUAAGAAACAGCUGCAGAGCAGCCAGAGGACAGCAACCCUACCCCAGAAAUGGACAUGAGAGAUAAACAGACAAUUAAACAAUUGAGGCCAGGAGUUCGAGACCAGACUGGGCAACAUAGUGAGAAUCUGCCUCUUUAAAAAAAUGUUAAAAUUAGCUGGGCAAGGUAGGGUAGUGUGUGCCUAUAGUCCUAACUACUGAGGAGACUGAGGUGGGAGGAUCACUUGAGCAGAAGUUGAAGGCUACAGUGAGCUAUGAUCACACCAUAGCACUCCAGCCUGGGUGACAGAGUGAGAUCCUGUCUCAAAAAAGGAUAGAUUUCCAGGCACUUCCCAUCAUGCUCCAGUAGCAGAGGGCAGUGCUGAGAGACCACCUAGAAGGGAAGGCACCCAGGGGCCAGGAGGGUCCAUGAAAAUGGAAAAGGGCUGGAGGGGACCUGCCACCUUCCAUAAAUGUCAUCCCAGCCUCUGAAAGAUCACAGUUCCCCAGGAAGUCCAGGACAGUGGAGGCAGAGUGGGCAGAGGGGACUGCCAGGCCGUGGGAGCAGCUCUAACUUACGCGUUGGUCAGAGCCGGGAGGUCCUUUGAGUGGCCAGCCUCCCUACCAGCUGAGUCUCCUAAAUAAAUAAAACAUUUUAAAAUGGUUAAAAUGGCAACUUUUAUGUGUACUCUGCCAGAAUUCUCUUAAGUUAAAAAAAAAUGUGAGUUUUGAACCUCCCCUCCAAGGGCCUGGGAGCUGCCAACACAGAGUCAGCCACAGUGUUUCCAGAUGGACAGAACGAAUCAAAAAGAUGUCUGCCAGACACUAUGCCAACAGGAAGAUGGGACUCAAGUUGUUUUUAAAAUUUUUUGUGCCUUGGCCUGCUGGAGAAAUAAAAGCUCUGAACUUGAGUUCACAUAGGCCUGAAUGUAAAUGCUGGUUCCAACACUGGCUGUGUGACCUUGGGCAAAUCACUGAGUCUUUCUGGGCCUCAGUUUUCUCAUCUGUAAAAUGGAGAUAAGCAGCAGCUCUUUGUUAACUCAUGAAAAAGCCCUAAGUGUAGUGCAGGAACACAGUAAGGACCAGCAAGGGUUGGUUUCUUUCCUCCCUCUCCUUUCCCCACACAUGUCCUUGACAUUUAUCCCAGCCAGAUUUCACCUGUACAGACACCCUCCCGGGAGGUUGUACACAGAGCAACACUUGUCGAGGUUCUCUGAUGGACCCUGCCCAUGGGAUGUUUACACUUUCAAAGAGAAAACGAGUUAAUCCACAGGAAGCCUAAGUGAUAGAGGGGACUGAAGAAAAUGUCAGCAUAAGAAUGCUGUUCGGCCUUUCUUUCAAUUUUUGGUAUUAAAAUAUUCAUUUUUUAGGAUACAAUAGUAGGAAACUAAUUUUUUACCUAUCCUGUGUCCUUACUUGACAAAAUAAGAUGCCACGAACCUUUAUGCCAGUUCCCAAAAUGACUUUUUGAAUUUUUAUUGAUAAAUCCUCAAAUCUGAGAGCACAACACUGUGCUCCCUAACCCUAAUCUCCCUCUCCCAGCAGGGAGUGAAUCCUGCUUCAUUUGCUCAGUGAGCACAAGGAAGGCACGGGCCCUGGGGUCCAUCCCUGCCAGGCCACUCCUUCCAGCCCUCUCUGUCAUUCCCACAGCAGCAGACAGGCAACAGCAUUCCCUCUUCCCAGCAUCGCUGAUGCCAGGCUGGGUACCACAACCUCUGCAUACCAACGGACUGGUCCCUACAUCCUGAUGCCAGAGGAGGUGGGUAACAUUGAGCCAUCACACUCACUCAAUUACCAGACCCCUGGGUCAGCUUAAGAAGGGAUGGAGUCCGGGCGCAGUGGCUCACACCUAUAACCCCAGCACUUUGGGAGGCCAAGGAGGGU
rnacentral:lncRNA from 1 species